rnacentral:hammerhead_ribozyme from 1 species
AUCUCGCUAAAGAGUCCUAAAUAGGACGAAAACUGUGUCCUAGAU